CCUGGAGGCCCUGCUACUAGGGAGACUGAGGCUGGUAUAUAGCUGGAGUUCAGGAGUUCUGAGCUUCAGUGGGGCUAAAAGUUGGGUGUCCAUACUAAGUAUGGUACCAAUAUAGUGAGCCCCUUAAAAAGGUGGGCCUUCAGGCUGCCUGAGGAGGAGUGAAUUGGCCCAGAUCAGAAACACAGCAGGUCAAAACUUUCAUGCCAAUCAGUAGUGAGAUUAGGCCACAAGUGGGCCCCUGUAUUUCUAGCCAGGGCAAGAUAGGGAAACUAACUCAAU
rnacentral:SRP_RNA from 1 species